rnacentral:misc_RNA from 1 species
GUGGGAUAAAUGAAAGGAACAAAUACUUGUAUCUAGGGGGGAUUACUAGUUUUACUAAUCUGCUAUUCGACACAAGAAAGGGUGUAAAAUAAAUCCUUUCUUGUGUCAUCUUAUAUUGAAAUAAUAAUGAUUUUUUGUCUGUUCAUCAAAGAUUACUAUCUUUUUCGUGUCUAUCGAAAUCCCUUGUUUCGGUUUCUAAUUUAUAUUUAUAAUAAAGUAGUGGA